ensembl:lncRNA
GACAAGGAUAACCAUAUUACAGAUAUUAGCAAUGCAUAUCCAGCCAAGCAACAAAGUGUUUAAAUUAUCUGUAAUGCUCUUCCCACCACCACCUCUGUUUUGCCCUCCCACCAGAUGAGUGCUUGCUACAACCAUGCAAAGACAAUCAAGAUAAAGCCUGGACUUCUAUCUGGUCAAAGCCACUCCGUCAACCCACCUCAAGCCUCAGCCAUCCGUUGCCACUCCGGAUCCUUCCCUGUUCCAGAUCAUCCACGCUACACCUGAUUCUGGCUGCCACGUGCUCCUCACGUCAUCUUCUGGCCCUACCCUCGCCACACCACUGUCCUUACGUGCACCUGCAUGUCUUCUCCAGCCAUUGUUGGGUGCGUAUCUGAAGGGGACGAGCGGGAGUACAGGAUGGUCAUCUCUGACUUUGUGGACUGGUGUGAGCGAAACCAU